rnacentral:sRNA from 1 species
CUAUGUUGUCUUUCUUGGACGUUUCCUCCCUAAACUUGGGCCGUACUUCGUGUGCGGCCUUUUUUUCGGGAUUAU